rnacentral:rRNA from 1 species
AUCAGCAAUGACCUCGCGCGGUUGGAUGGACCGAUGUUCGAUUAGCUUGUUGGUGGGGUAAUGGCCUACCAAGGCGACGAUCGAUAGCUGGUCUGAGAGGAUGAUCAGCCACACUGGGACUGAGACACGGCCCAGACUCCUACGGGAGGCAGCAGUGGGGAAUAUUGGACAAUGGGCGCAAGCCUGAUCCAGCAAUGCCGCGUGUGUGAAGAAGGCCUUCGGGUUGUAAAGCACUUUUAUCAGGAGCGAAAUACCACGGGUUAAUACCCUAUGGGGCUGACGGUACCUGAGGAAUAAGCACCGGCUAACUUCGUGCCAGCAGCCGCGGUAAUACGAAGGGUGCAAGCGUUAAUCGGAAUUACUGGGCGUAAAGCGUGCGUAGGUGGUUUUUUAAGUCUGCUGUGAAAUCCCCGGGCUCAACCUGGGAAUGGCAGUGGAUACUGGAAAGCUAGAGUGUGAGAGAGGAUGGUGGAAUUCCCGGUGUAGCGGUGAAAUGCGUAGAGAUCGGGAGGAACAUCAGUGGCGAAGGCG